rnacentral:tRNA from 1 species
GGCCCAGUAGUGUAACGGCAAGCACAGGAGCGAAGGAGAGUUGAAAGCCUCCGUACCUCACAGCAGCGGUUCAACUCCGCUUCGGGUCA